CUACAUAUCAAUAACGGAGGAGACCAACAGGGAUUGCCUUAGUAACGGCGAGUGAAGCGGCAAUAGCUCAAAUUUGAAAGCUGGCCCCUUCGGGGUCCGCGUUGUAAUUUGUAGAGGAUGAUUCGGCGAGGGCUCCCGUCUAAGUCCCUUGGAACAGGGCGUCAUAGAGGGUGAGAAUCCCGUAUGUGAUGGGCUGCCUUAGCCAUGUGAAUCUCCUUCGACGAGUCGAGUUGUUUGGGAAUGCAGCUCUAAAUGGGAGGUAAAUUUCUUCUAAAGCUAAAUACCGGCCAGAGACCGAUAGCGCACAAGUAGAGUGAUCGAAAGAUGAAAAGCACUUUGGAAAGAGAGUUAAAAAGUACGUGAAAUUGUUGAAAGGGAAGCGCUUGCAGCCAGACUUGUCCGCAGUUGCUCAGCUUGUCUCCUGACAGGCGUACUYUUYUGCGGCCAGGCCAGCAUCAGUUCGGGCGGUCGGAUAAAGACCUGGGGAAUGUAGCUCCUCUCGGGGAGUGUUAUAGCCCUGGGUGCAAUGCGGCCAGCCUGGACUGAGGAUCUCGCUUCGGCUAGGAUGCUGGCGUAAUGGCUGUAAGCGGCCCGUCUUGAAACACGGACCAAGGAGUCUAACAUCUAUGCGAGUGUUUGGGUGUCAAACCCAUGCGCGUAAUGAAAGUGAACGGAGGUGGGAACCCUCACGGGUGCACCAUCGACCGAUCCUGAUGUCUUCGGAUGGAUUUGAGUAAGAGCAUAGCUGUUGGGACCCGAAAGAUGGUGAACUAUGCCUGAAUAGGGUGAAGCCAGAGGAAACUCUGGUGGAGGCUCGCAGCGGUUCUGACGUGCAAAUCGAUCGUCAAAUUUGGGUAUAGGGGCGAAAGACUAAUCGAACCAUCUAGUAGCUGGUUCCUGCCGAGU
rnacentral:rRNA from 1 species